UACAGAGGUCCCGAGCGUUGUUCGGAUUCAUUGGGCGUAAAGGGUGCGUAGGCGGCGGGGCAAGUCUGAUGUGAAAUCCCGGGGCUCAACCCCGGGCCUGCAGUGGAUACGGGCUGGCUAGAGGCAGGCAGGGGAGAACGGAAUUCCUGGUGUAGCGGUGAAAUGCGCAGAUAUCAGGAGGAACACCGGUGGCGAAGGCGGUUCUCUGGGCCUGUACUGACGCUGAGGAGCGAAAGCGUGGGGAGCGAACAGG
rnacentral:rRNA from 1 species